UACAGAGGGUGCAAGCGUUAAUCGGAAUUACUGGGCGUAAAGCGUGCGUAGACGGUUACAUAAGUCGGGUGUGAAAGCCCCGGGCUCAACCUGGGAAUUGCAUUCGAGACUGCGUAGCUAGGGUGCGGAAGAGGGAAGCGGAAUUUCCGGUGUAGCGGUGAAAUGCGUAGAUAUCGGAAGGAAGACCAGUGGCGAAGGCGGGUCUCUGGACAGUUCCUGACGCUGAGGCACGAAGGUCAGGGGAGCAAACGGG
rnacentral:rRNA from 1 species